rnacentral:rRNA from 1 species
UGGGGAAUCUUGCGCAAUGGGCGAAAGCCUGACGCAGCCAUGCCGCGUGGAUGAUGAAGGUCUUAGGAUUGUAAAAUCCUUUCACCGGUGAAGAUAAUGACUGUAGCCGGAGAAGAAGCCCCGGCUAACUUCGUGCCAGCAGCCGCGGUAAUACGAAGGGGGCUAGCGUUGCUCGGAAUUACUGGGCGUAAAGGGAGCGUAGGCGGACAUUUAAGUCAGGGGUGAAAUCCCGAGGCUCAACCUCGGAACUGCCUUUGAUACUGGGUGUCUUGAGUGUGAGAGAGGUAUGUGGAACUCCGAGUGUAGAGGUGAAAUUCGUAGAUAUUCGGAAGAACACCAGUGGCGAAGGCGACAUACUGGCUCAUUACUGACGCUGAGGCUCGAAAGCGUGGGGAGCAAACAGGAUUAGAUACCCUGGUAGUCCACGCCGUAAACGAUGAUUGCUAGUUGUCGGGGAAAGCUUGCUUUUCGGUGACGCAGCUAACGCAUUAAGCAAUCCGCCUGGGGAGUACGGUCGCAAGAUUAAAACUCAAAUGAAUUGACGGGGUCAUAGCUGUUUCCUG